GAAACUUUCCACGAGACACCUGUGGAAGCUAGGCGUCAGUUAGCUACAACAGCGAACAUCCACUAGACACCUGUGGAUCAGCGUUUCUCUGCUGCUGCUACCAAAACUUUCCACGAAAAUCCAUCACAAGACACUUGUUCUCCUUCUCGGCUGCGUUUGUUUCUCUCUGUUUCUCCAACAAUAACUAUUAAUUAGAGACACAAAUGGGUUCGCUUUUGAGUUCUACCAAAAAGACCAAGGAAGAAAUUGAAAUGGCACUUAAAAAAGCAAAGGAGAUCUCCACUUCUGCUCCUGUCGUCGUUUUCAGGUUUUUCAUUUCCCAG
rnacentral:misc_RNA from 1 species